UCCGGCCACCGACGCGUCCCGGUCGGCGUCCUCGCCCUUGCUUCCAACUCCAAGCCCAAGCCGCAUCGACCGUCCUCCUCCAGGUCGCGAAGCCCCACCACCGUGCAACUCCCUCGAUUCCCAGUGCCUCAGGGACAAGAGUCACAAAUUUGGAGGAGGGAGGCCACCGCACGCUACCUAUUCGACGAAAUGCCUACAAGGCCACAACACACCGCAUCGACGUCUUCUUCUCCCCCUCUCGCCGGCAAGGAGACGACACCCAUCUAAAAGGCUUGCUGAGAAGGAUUGAUGAAAAGAUUUUCAGGAUUGAAGAUAUGAUGGAAGGAUGAACUAGGACUGCCUGCAGUGCUUUGUUUGUGCAUGUACAAAUUCGUUGUAUUUUUCCUCAUAUAUCACUGCCAGUCGUUGAAGAAUGGUAAAUGGACCUGUUCUCUAUGCGGUUGUACAUCUUGUUCUUAGUAUGUCUGUGAUUACAAUAGUAGCUUAGCUCUCACUGUUAUCGGUCACCUGGGACUUUGCAUAUCAUAUCAUCUCAUCCUUUGGACGAGGGCUACAUACUCCUGGAUACAAUGCUCCAUGAUAAGGAUAAGGACUUCAUACUCUUGCCCUACAGCCCCAUGCCUGCUACAUUUCCAAUCGCACCAGGCAAACUACCACUCAAGUUGUUGUUGUUGAUCUUCAAGGACAGUAGAUUCAUCCAGGCCCCUAGUUCCUCAGCUGUGUAGGUAUGGAUCCAGAUAAUUGGUUCGACGACAAGUUCAGGCUAUAUAGGUUUGCUAAAGUGCAGAUUUCUGGUGGAAUCUCCCCGGUGAGAUGAUUAGAAUUGAGUGUUAGUACUACUAGGUUGGACAAUUUAGAAAGGACCGGAGGUAUGUUACCCGUGAUCAUGUUUUUUGCUAGAUAUAGUUGUGUUAGUUGGGUACAUGCACCUAGAUUUGGUGAGAUCUUGCCAUAGAGUCUAUUCGAUGCCAAGCGCAUUUUUAUAAGUUGUGGAUACACCCCAAAAUGUUGAGAUAUAUCUCCUGUUAUUUGGUUCCUCUGAAGGUCAAUUCGGACCAAACUUGUACAUGUCUUUAAACUCACUGGAAUGGGGCCACUGAACUUAUUAGAAGAGACAUAGAAAUAUCGAAGUUUGCCGCCUGAACAUAUAUUUGCGGGUAAAGGUCCUGAAAGUGAGUUGCUAGACAACCCAAGUUCAACAAGGCUUAUGAGUUUUCCGAAUUCUUGAGGAAGAGAACCUGAUAAUUUGUUAUCAAAGAUUUGCAGCUUUUGGAUGCUUUGCAAAUUCCCAAAAGUUUUUGGUAUUGAUCCCGAAAUUUGGUUAUGAUACAAACCUAAAUAUUUGAGGUUUAGUAGAUUGCCAAUUUCCUGGGGGAUGGAACCAGUUAUCUGAUUUUCAAAGAGGUAUAGUAGUGAUAGCUUGGUAAUAUUUCCUAAGCUGUGUGGAAUGGAGCCAGAUAUGUUGUUGUCGGACAAGUCUAAUUCUUGGAGAUUCAGCAAGUUGCCAAGUUCUAAAGGUAUUGGGCCUAUGCUUUGAUUUUUGUAGAGAUAAAGGGUGUUCAUCUUGGUGAGGUUGGUUAUGGAUAUUGGAAUUGGACCUAAAAAAUCAUUUGAACUAAGAUCAAGAAUUUGCAAAUGGACUAGCCUACCUAGUUCUUAGGGUAUAGGUUCCGAAAGUUGAUUAUCAAACAGGCCCAAAGCAUUUAGUUGGGUCAGAUUUCCAAUGGUUUUUGGUAUCAUGCUGCUUAAGGUGUUGUUGCUUAGCUGUAGAAUUUGUAGGUUGACAAGCCUUCCAAUCUCCUCAGGAAUGGGGCCUGAUACCAUGUUUUGGUGAAUGACAAGAUUGAUUAACAUUGUUAGGUUGCCCAUAGACACAAGGAUAUGUCCUGUGAGUCUGUUAAAUGAGAGAUCAAGUUAGGUCAGACUCUGCAGUCCACCAAACUCAAACGGAAUUUUCCCUUUGAGAUGGUUGAAGCUGAGGUCAAGAUAAGAUAGUGAUGAUAGAGAACUGAUAUUAGCUGGUAUUGGACCAUGGAGACUGUUGUUGCCGAGGUUAAUAUAUGUGAGGAAUGGAAGAGCCGAGAAGUUGAGCUCACCAAGCUGGCCAUGGAUGCCACCAUCUGGCAGGUAGAUGUUGGUCACCGCCCAGGGCAUGCGGCGGCCAUGGCGAACUGCCGUGCACAUGAUGCCCGUCCAGUUGCAGGGGCUAGUCUUUUCCUGCCAAGAGCUCAUCUGCAGCUGUGGACUUGCAAGUGCAGCUUUCCAGUGGAGAAGAGCCAUUUGUUGAGACCUCAGUGAGAUCCCUCCAUGGUGAGCCGCAUGUGCUUCUUGCAAGAGAAAUAGGCAGCUCACCAGCAGUGAGCAGAGGUACGACAUAGGUCGCAUUUUGCUGCUUAGUGUUUGCAUCUGGAAUUCAAUAAUGUGUUUUGUUGGGGAUGUGAUUCAAUACACAAUGCAACUCCGUCGAUGAGUAUUUAACCAGUGCCAUCCAUUGUUACAACGUCCCCCAGUCAACACACAACAGUUUAGUGGAAGCAUUGUUUCCAGUAUAUAAUGGAAGCAGCACAACAGUUGAGUGGAAGAUUUUUUCGAAAAGAGUUGAGUGGAGAGGCUGCACAAAAGUUGAAUGCGAGCCUUUUUCUUUCCUUUGGCAGCUACUGCUGGGCUGUCUGUUUUUCUUCUUCAGUGUGGCUAUCUCUUCAAUACUUUUUCCCUCCCUCUACAACUUAUGCACUGAAUGGAUUUGAGUUAAUAUUUCAGUAGAGUGUUCAUUUGAUAUUAUCUGAUUAUCUCCUGUGAUUGGUUUGACAGUACUUCCUGUUCAUUUAACUUGUAACUGCUUCAGGUAUGGCAAUUCCAGGAAAUUGAAGCGGCUUGCCUUAAUCUAUCUCUCUACAUGCAAUUCUAAUGUUUCCCUUAUUCGCUUUAGCUGGUACAUAGAACAAAAGAUUUAGCUCAAGGACCCGUGACUUGUGGCGCAUCGCAAGUGAUUAACUGUGGGGAAAUUAAUUUCCAUGCUGGAAUUCUAUUCUGUCGGAGAGGGAGUACAAACAAGCAGCAUCAUGACCACACUGACUGAAGAAAAGGUCCAAGCUCAAGUGGGUUUAUUCGGUGCGUGGGCGUCUGGUCUUCAUGGCUGCAUUCCAAGUCCCAAUGACGCAAUAUAUCCUCCCGGAACUUAACCAAGUAGUUAUCAUAUGCUUUAUUUUAGUUUGACUAGCAGAGUGUUUUGCAUCUGCUCUAAUUUGAUAAUCGACUCGUUGAAUUGGCGUGUAACCCUUGUCGAGAAAGGAACACUGCUCUGCUUUGGGCACACACAUCUGUCUGUUUAGAAAUGCACACACACAAUUCAGUUCGACGAAAAAUCUCAAAAAACUGCAUAUAUUACUUCUUGAAACUGUAUAUACUCAUUAUGUCGGUAUCUACUCUGCAUAUUAGCCUUUUCUUAAGUCAAACUUUGUAAAUUUUGACCAUAUUUACUGCAAAAUUUUGUUAACAACUUUAAUACCAAAUCAAUACUAUUGGAUUAAUCAUUGAAUAUAUUUCGCAUCAUAUACUUUUAUUAUUAUAAAUGUUUAUAUCAUUUUCUAAACUUGAUCGAACUUUCUAAAGUUUGACUUAAGGAGAAAGCAAAUAUGCAGAGUGAAUGAAAACAGAGGGAAUAUCUUCUUUCUUUUUGCCCCUCGGCCGUUCGGAUUUACCCUUUUUGCGGGCAUUUUCUAGUCAUGAGUGACAGAUUGUAGGCUCAACAAGUAUAUGACCUGGGAUGCGGCGUCUUGGGAGCGGGUAAAGCCUCGACCAGAUGCCGCUCUUGUCUCCCUCUCCAUGCCAUGAAGGUUGCGCUCGGGCAGAGGACGCUUGCUGCCACUUCGAGCCUAGUGGUAAGGCCUCGAUCGACCAGGUACCAUGGCAAACUUACAUUAGGCCGAGCGGGAGCCUAUGCUCCUAGGCAAUUUCUAACUUUCCAGCUUUGAAAAAAUAUUAAAAGAAUAUUUUAAA